GCUUAGUUUGACCAUUUUACAUAUUUGGGAACAGCAUGAUAUAUGACAAUGUGAUCAAGAAAACACUACUUGUGCACUAUGAACUACCUGUACUGUACUGUACUACUGAGGUAAAGUCUGUAAACAUAAUUCUGGGAAUAAAAACAUGAA